GAGAGUAUUCCUAUUGAUUUGAGAGAGAGAGAGAAGGAGACUCAGGGAGAGGAAGAAACAUUGAUGUAAGACAGACAUUGACUUGUUGCCCCCCUAUGUGUCCUACCUGCGGAUUUCACCCACAACCGAGAUAACCCACAAGAUGGCACACUGGUGAUGCUCGAGGUCAGCUGGUGGCUGUUAUCCGAGAUGACAUCCACUCACACUGAAAAAAGGGAAGUUGUAGAAAUGAUCCCAACCUAAAACGGCCACAUGCAGCAUGUCUGAG